rnacentral:rRNA from 1 species
UCUACGGGGUGCAGCAGUGAGGAAUAUUGGUCAAUGGGCGGGAGCCUGAACCAGCCAAGUCGCGUGAGGGAAGACGGUCCUACGGAUUGUAAACCUCUUUUGCCGGGGAGCAACGGGGUCCUUGCGAGGGCCCGAUGAGAGCACCCGGAGAAAAAGCAUCGGCUAACUUCGUGCCAGCAGCCGCGGUAUUAGGGGGGAUGCGAGCGUUAUCCGGUUUUAUGGGGGUUAAAGGGUGCGUAGGCGGGCUGUUAAGUCAGCGGUAAAAUGUCGGGGCUCAACCCCGGCCUGCAGUUGAAACUGGCGGCCUCGAGUGGGCGAGAGGUAUGCGGAAUGCGUGGUGUAGCGGUGAAAUGCAUAGAUAUCACGCAGAACUCCAGUUGCGAAGGCAGCAUACCGGCGCCCGACUGACGCUGAGGCACGAAAGCGUGGGUAUCGAACAGGAUUAGAUACCCGAGUAGUC